AGAGUUUGAUCAUGGCUCAGGACGAACGCUGGCGGCGUGCCUAACACAUGCAAGUCGAGCGGAGGCAUAGGGAAGAAGUUUUCGGAUGGACUCCCUAUGCUUUAGCGGCGGACGGGUGAGUAACGCGUGAGCAACCUGCCUUUCACAGGGGGAUAAGGCGGCGAAAGCCGCUCUAAUACCGCAUGAGACCACGGUGAUGAUGUCACAGGGGUCAAAGGAGCAAUCCGGUGGAAGAUGGGCUCGCGUCCGAUUAGGUAGUAGGUGGGGUAAGGGCUCACCUAGCCAAUAAUCGGUAGCCGGCCUGAGAGGGUGAACGGCCACAUUGGAACUGAGACACGGUCCAAACUCCUACGGGAGGCAGCAGUGGGGAAUAUUGGGCAAUGGGGGGAACCCUGACCCAGCAACGCCGCGUGAGGGAAGAAGGUUUUCGGAUUGUAAACCUCUGUUCUUGGGGAAGAGUAGAAGACGGUACCCAAGGAGGAAGCCCCGGCUAACUACGUGCCAGCAGCCGCGGUAAUACGUAGGGGGCGAGCGUUGUCCGGAAUGAUUGGGCGUAAAGGGCGCGUAGGCGGCUGUGCAAGUCAGUAGUGGAAGCCCAGCUUUUAAGGUUGGAAGUGCUAUUGAAACUGUGCAGCUUGAGUGCAGGAGAGGUUAUCGGAAUUCCCGGUGUAGCGGUGAAAUGCGUAGAGAUCGGGGGGAACACCAGUGGCGAAGGCGGGUGACUGGACUGCAACUGACGCUGAGGCGCGAAAGUGUGGGGAGCAAACAGGAUUAGAUACCCUGGUAGUCCACACUGUAAACGAUGAAUGCUAGGUGUAGGGGGUAUCGACCCCUUCU
rnacentral:rRNA from 1 species